UACGUAGGGUCCGAGCGUUGUCCGGAAUUACUGGGCGUAAAGAGCUCGUAGGUGGUUUGUCGCGUUGUUCGUGAAAACUCGCAGCUCAACUGCGAGCCUGCGGUCGAUACGGGCAGGCUAGAGUUCGGUAGGGGAGACUGGAAUUCCUGGUGUAGCGGUGAAAUGCGCAGAUAUCAGGAGGAGCAGCGGUGGCGAAGGCGGGUCUCUGGGCCGAUACUGACGCUGAGGAGCGAAAGCGUGGGGAGCGAACAGG
rnacentral:rRNA from 1 species